rnacentral:rRNA from 1 species
UGUAAGCGUAUACCAAAGUUGUUGCAGUUAAAACGCUCGUAGUCGGAAUUUGGCAGUUCCGGAUGUGUGCGCGUCGUGUGCGCACUUCGCGGGGAUUGCUUUUGUGGUCUUGCGUAGGAUGAGGCACUUUUAUUAGUGAACGUCCUCACGCAACCACUUUUUACUGUGAGAAAAUCAGAGUGCUCAAAGCAGGCAUUUGCCGUGAAUGUAUUAGCAUGGAAUAAUAGAAUAGGACUUGGUUCUAUUUUGUUGGUUUGUUGGGACUGAGUAAUGAUUAAGAGGGACAGUUGGGGGCAUUUGUAUUUCGGUGCUAGAGGUGAAAUUCUUAGAUUACCGAAAGACAAACUGCCGCGAAAGCGUCUGCCAAGGAUGUUUUCAUUGA